rnacentral:rRNA from 1 species
UACAUGUGGGGCAAGCGUUGUUCGGAAUUACUGGGCGUAAAGCGUGCGCAGGCGGUUCGUUGUGUCGGUGGUGAAAUCCCCGGGCUUAACCUGGGAAUGGCCAUGGAAACUGGCGAACUGGAGUGCGGCAGAGGGGGGUGGAAUUCCGCGUGUAGCAGUGAAAUGCGUAGAGAUGCGGAGGAACACCGAUGGCGAAGGCAGCCCCCUGGGCUAGCACUGACGCCUCAGGCACGAAAGCGUGGGGAGCAAACAGG